rnacentral:rRNA from 1 species
UACGUAGGGUGCAAGCGUUGUCCGGAAUUAUUGGGCGUAAAGAGCUCGUAGGCGGUCUGUCGCGUCGGAUGUGAAAAUCCAGGGCUCAACCCUGGACCUGCAUUCGAUACGGGCAGACUAGAGUUCGGUAGGGGAGACUGGAAUUCCUGGUGUAGCGGUGAAAUGCGCAGAUAUCAGGAGGAACACCGGUGGCGAAGGCGGGUCUCUGGGCCGAAACUGACGCUGAGGAGCGAAAGCGUGGGUAGCGAACAGG